GACGGAGGGGGCUAGCGUUGUUCGGAAUUACUGGGCGUAAAGAGUGCGUAGGCGGUUUAGUAAGUUGGAAGUGAAAAGCCCGAGGCUUAACCUCGGAACUGCUUUCAAAACUACUAAUCUAGAGUGUAGUAGGGGAUGAUGGAAUUCCUAGUGUAGAGGUGAAAUUCUUAGAUAUUAGGAGGAGCACCGGUGGCGAAGGCGGUCAUCUGGGCUACAACUGACGUGAUGCA
rnacentral:rRNA from 1 species